rnacentral:rRNA from 1 species
AACGAACGCUGGCGGCAGGCCUAACACAUGCAAGUCGAACGCUGUAGCAAUACAGAGUGGCGCACGGGUGAGUAACGCGUAGGAAUCUACCCAUUAGCCUGGGAUAACAGCGGGAAACUGCUGCUAAUACCGGAUACGCCCUUCGGGGGAAAGAUUUACUACUAAUGGAUGAGCCUGCGUUAGAUUAGCUAGUUGGUGAGGUAAUGGCUCACCAAGGCUCCGAUCUAUAGCCGGUCUAAGACAACGAUCGGCCACACUGGGACUGAGACACGACCCAGACUCCUACGGGAGGAAGCAGUGGGGAAUAUUGGGCAAUGGACGCAAGUCUGACCCAGCCAUGCCGCGUGUGUGAUGAAGGCCUUAGGGUUGUAAAGCACUUUUAGUAGUGAAGAUGAUGACAGUAGCUACAGAAAAAGCCCCGGCUAACUUCGUGCCAGCCGCCGCCGUAA